GGUUUUAAUAAGACGGUUAUCUUAAACCGACAUAAUGUCUCCGCAAAUGAACAUCUCCAAGGCUGUGUACGUAUUCCCUUCUUAUUCUUCUCAUUCUCCAAGGCUGAACAUCUCUCACCGAAAGUUACGAUUUCUUAAUCAUAUCUACACCGACGUAAAUCAACCUCACAUGAUUUGAAGAUUUUCAUCGUGCUUCAACUCUUACAACUUACAAGGUUUCAUGGGGCAAUGUCUCAGCAAAUGAUAAAUCACAUUGUUUAUCAACACAAUAUUGAUAUGGAUACUCAACUCCUCAAAAAAUUAAAGUAUCAACUACAUGUGAAGGUGAUGGAGGGCUUUCUGCAAGGAUUGGGUAGCAUUGAGGAAGUUACAUGUGUUCUAAGGGGUGUUUGCUCUAAUACCAUUACACACUUCAACUUAUCAAGUAUUUAUCUUUUUAAUGUUAUAUAUUAUAUAAACAACCAAUUUAAUGUAGAUCUUGGGGUUUUGUAACACGACGGGAAUCUAGCUUUCUAGUUCAACAUACACAACACUUUUAGUUAUUUACGAGUUUCGUAAUUUAACGUUUCUCAUCUUAUUACAUUUUAGUCUCUUGUGGUCAUAUUGUAGUUAUGUAGCAAAGACAAUUGCAUAUGCCUUGGAAGAGUCUUUUUUCUUAUUUUGACAUAUCUCAGAU